rnacentral:rRNA from 1 species
GACGUAGGGCGCGAGCGUUGUCCGGAUUUAUUGGGCGUAAAGAGCUCGUAGGCGGCUUGUCGCGUCGUCCGUGAAAACCUGCAGCUCAACUGCAGGCUUGCGGUCGAUACGGGCAGGCUGGAGUUCGGUGAGGGGAGACUGGAAUUCCUGGUGUAGCGGUGAAAUGCGCAGAUAUCAGGAAGAACACCCGUGGCGAAGGCGGCUCUCUGGGACGGUACUGACGCUGAGACGCGAAAGCGUGGGGAGCAAACAGG